rnacentral:rRNA from 1 species
GACGAACCGUCCAAACGUUAUUCGGAAUCACUGGGCUUAAAGGGUGCGUAGGCGGCCCGGGAAGUUGGGUGUGAAAGCCCUCGGCUCAACCGAGGAAUUGCGCCCAAAACUGCCGGGCUCGAGGGAGACAGAGGUGCGCGGAACUAAGGGUGGAGCGGUGAAAUGCGUUGAUAUCCUUAGGAACACCAGGAGCGAAAGCGGCGCACUGGGUCUCUUCUGACGCUGAGGCACGAAAGCUAGGGGAGCGAAC